UUAUUUCCUGCAGAUGCUCUUGAUAUGGUCACCCCAUCAAAGAAAAAAAUAUGAUCAGCCAUGGAGCAUGAGCCAUGGCACAACUGUAAGGUUGCUUCACUGUGAUCUAGAGGGUUAUGGGUUCAAAAUGUGGAAACAAUCUCUCCACGUGAGGAUAAUAUUGCAUACAUCCGAUCCUCUCCAGACUCCAUAAUGAUGGAAGCCUCAUGUAUUGGACUGCCUUUUCUUUCUUUUUUUUUUUUUCAAUGUCUACACUUGCUGCUGCAGAAAAUGAACUCAUUAUCUAGUCACUCUUCGUCAGAUAACAGUGAUCCAGGUAGAUCAUAGUUUAGCUUUGGGAACUGUCUUCUAAGCACUUAUAGUAGUUCAAUUGGCAAUGAUGCAUGUUUGGUCACCUAAAUUUCAUCCUCGUGUAGUUAUUGCCUCUUCAUGAUGUAACUAAGAUACAGCCACAUUCAGGAUAGAGAAAAACUGCUUUGCAGUGACUACCUGAAUAUGUUAUUUAUAUUCAAAGAAGGGUCACGUUUCAAUUCUUAACUACCGUCCAAUUAUGAUGAUUUUGCUACUUGUUGUUGGUAUUUUUCCCAAAAACUAAAGCUUUAGCAAGACUUGAAUGCCGCAAGAUACAGGAAAUGUUCUCAGAUUAGUUAAUUGAAAUAGAUAUCAUGUACUAUAUUUUGCUGAUUUGAACGUUCUACCGGUCUGUCCUUGCCGACCAUCCUAGAAUGCCGUGAUGUCUCUCCUGCAGAUGGUGGGAAUCUGUUAGCCUUGUCAUCAAAGAAGGAAUGUGCUGAGCCAUCGGCGAGUGAUUGGACCUCUAACCCUCCUAAUAUCUGCCCUUCUAUGUUGUUGCUUUUUUGCCGCUCAGUGUGUAGGUAGCUAGGUGCGAAGAAAUGGAUGUGAUUCCGCUUUUUGUUUGUGUUUAACACUUCCAGCAGCAGAAUGAGGGCAUCCCUCUGGAUUCAGGCGACACAGAUGACGAUUUCUCCUUGGAAGAGCCGAGGAAGAAUUGGCCAAGUUUAUCUCCACAUCCAGACCAAAACAAAAAUUCAGAUCAAGACCGAACUAAGAUUAAGCCAGAAAAUGAGCCUGGCCUGAUGAUGCCCUCAUCUCUUCCAGUUGCAAAGCGGCCUAAUGCUGCUGCUGCUCAUGCUGUUAAGGGGAAAGAAAUCAAGGCUGAAGGGAAAUACUGGGCAAGGGAUGCAACUAGCAACAUAUUGAAACAGAUUGAGGAUAAAUCUUCAAAGAAGUCUGAUGGGAACAUUCAGGACGAUGCUGGUGCAUAAGAGUGGCAUUGUAAAGUAGGAAUUCAUAUCUUUAAGGCAAGUUUCUCCAUGUGCAGAAAUCAAAUUUACCCAACAUGUUGCAUCAGCUAUCAACGUUAAGAGCAUAGCUGCAAUCUAAGCAAUAUCAAGAAGCAUGUUAUUGUGACACCUGAUGUGGAUUCCCUCUUAGGAUGGUAUGACUGGUUCUGGCUAAUGCUGGUGAUUUCUUUUUCAACUUCAACCUCUCAAACAGGCAAGAAAAAUUGCAAAUGUAAACUUUUGUAGAUAGAGAUGUCAUUCUUGUACAAUGUCAUAUACAGCAACAGAUAGCUGAUAGCAAUAUGAUGUACUGAAGAACAAGAUCUACGGCUGAAACUUUCCUAAUAUACAUGGGACUUUUGCUGCUUGACAGUGUUCAUCA